UUCCAUUCAUUUCUCCUGGUCUUCUGGGUUUUUCUCUUGCCCUCCCCACCACCAUUCCUGAUGCUGUUCUGCUUUUCCCCUCCCCCUCCUGUCUUCCACCCAGUUCCCUCCCUCCCUCUGCCUACCAUAAUUUUUUUGUUUCCCCUCCUAAAUGUAAUUGAAGCAUCCUCACUUGAGCUUUCCUGCUGGUUAAACCUCUUACGGUCUAUGGGUUGUAUCCUGGGUAUUCUGUACUUUGGCUUGUAUCUACUUACCAGUUCAGAGGUUCAGUCUAUUAUCAAGGUGGGAGCAUGGCGGAGUUCAGGCAGUGAUGGCGCAGGAGGAGCUUAAAGUUCUAUAUCUUCAUCUGGAGGUCACUAGGAGAAGACUGUCUUCCAGGCAGCUAUGAUGAGGAUCUUAAAGCCCACAUCCACAGUGACACACUUCCUCCAACAAGGCCACACCUACUCCAACAAGGCCACACCUCCUAACAGUCCUACUCCCUGGAUCAAGUAUCUACCACACUGCUCAAGCUACUUAAAUUGCUGACUUUGGACAAGAGAUACAAAAGAAUCUUUUGUGGUCUACACUAAGCUCGCACCAGCUCACCAGAAGACUACACUGGGUCUUUCUACAUGUAAACAAAGUUCUUUCUGGUGCUAAUGUGUUUGGCUGGUGGGUCUUGCUGGGUCUCCUCUGAAGGCCUCACAAUCUGACUAUGUUGCUCUUUCCUUUUCACAAUUAGCUUUAGGUGUGAGGAAAACAAAGAUGUGAAAAUAGCAUUUCUUCUCUUGUAAAAUAAAACAUUCUGCAGAAAAA